rnacentral:rRNA from 1 species
GUGUGGUUUAAUUAGGUGUGUGUAUAAUGUGAGAAUUUACUUUGGUUUUUGUAUUGAUAAAGAAAAAAUAUUUUAAUUUCUAAUGGAGGGCUAAGUUUUGAAAUAAAAAUAGUUGGUAUGUGUACUUUUUGGAGAAUGGCCUGUAAAGAUGGGGCAUUGAUAUGUGUUCUUGAAAAUUUAAGAGCUAUUGUUUUUGUUGUUUUUGUUGCAAAAAAGUCAUAAAAGUUAACAAUAGAGGUGACAUGUCUGUCGAAUAAGUUGAUAGCUAGUAUGAGGAGAAACAUAUUUGCGUAUGGGGUAAAUUUUUUAUUUUUGUUAGUGCAAAACUAGUAAGGUUUAUACUCAGAUUUUUAGGGCUAAGCUUAAAAAUAUUAAAAUGUUUUAAUGAGAGUAAAGUAGGGUUUGUAUUGUCCAUCUAUUAAACUUUUUUAUAAAGUAAAUUGUAAAAAGUUAAUUUUUAUAGUAUCUUCACAAGUGUAAUAAUUUUUUAUACUGUGACUAGUAUAGGAUCAGUAAUUGUGUUUUAGUGUAAUAAGGAGUAGAUUAUUUUUAGGUUGUUCUAUUUAGUUGGAUGAUGUGGUAUUGUGUUUUGAAUUGAAUACAUAUAUAAAAGUUUAAUUUAUUUUAUUUUGAUUUUAAUAUUAAUUUAUUAAUUUGAAAUUGAAAUCUACAUUGAAAGAACUCGGCAAAUUGUCUUUGUGCCUGUUUAUUAAACACAUCGCCUUUUGAGUUGUGGAUAUAAAAGGUCUCGCCUGCCCAGUGACUGUAAUGGUUUAACGGCCGCUGUUUUUGUGCUAAGGUAGCGCGGUAAGUAACCCUUUAAUUGAGGGAUAGUAUGAAUGGCUGGACACAGAGGAGCUGUUUCCAAUGUAGUGAAUAAGAAGUUUCUUUUCAAGUGCAAAAGCUUGGGUUUUUGUAAAAGACGACGAGACCCUGUCGAACUUGUUUAAAAAUCAAAAUAUUUAGCUUAGUUUAGUUAACAGAUUUCAAUUUUGUUAUUUGUUGAUUAUUUCUUUAGUUUGUUUUGAAUUGCCUAAUUACGGUCUAGAUAAGAAUGGUGCUUAUUAGUAAAUAGUGUUUAUUUUUAAAGUGUUAUUUAUAUAGUAGGCUGUAGUUAGGUUAUACAGAUUAGGUUGUUUUGAGUUUAUAUUGAUUUCGAAUUUUUGUUGGGGCAACACACAUUUAUUAAACGAUGUGUUUUUGUAUAAGGACCCUGUAGGAUGGCCUAAAGCAAAAGUUACCGCAGGGAUAACAGCGUAAUUUUUUUCCGUAAGUUGUAUUGGGAAAAGAGUUUACGACCUCGAUGUUGAAUUAAGAAAACUUUGUGGCGCAGACGCCAUAGUGAGUAAAACUGUUCGUUUUUUAAUUUCUUACAUGAUUUGAGUUAAGAUCGGCGUGAGCUAGAUCGGUUUCUAUCUUUAUUUAUUACUCCUAUUGUACGAAAGGAUCCAGGAGUGGUGUUAUUAAACGCU